rnacentral:ncRNA from 2 species
UUAGAUGGGGACACUCGAGGUGCCGCCCUGAAGCGGGCGGAGAAUUGGGAAGCCGGUCAAAUCCCGGUGCUGCCCCCGCAACGGUGGUGGAGUGAAGCCACGGCGAAGGCCACUGGACGGGAAUGUCCGGGAAGGCGCCGGGCGGGUCCUUGGCGGGACGGCUCCAGAGCCCGGAAACCAGCCUUGAGCACAUCGACCGU